UGCCAGACUCCUACGGGAGGCAGCAGUGAGGAAUAUUGGUCAAUGGGCGAGAGCCUGAACCAGCCAAGUCGCGUGAGGGAAGACGGUCCUAUGGAUUGUAAACCUCUUUUGCCGGGGAGCAAAAAGCGGUACGUGUACCGCAUCGAGAGUACCCGGAGAAAAAGCAUCGGCUAACUCCGUGCCAGCAGCCGCGGUAAUACGGAGGAUGCGAGCGUUAUCCGGAUUUAUUGGGUUUAAAGGGUGCGCAGGCGGCGAGUUAAGUCAGCGGUAAAAUUUCGGGGCUCAACCCCGUCGUGCCGUUGAAACUGAUGUUCUUGAGUGGGCGAGAAGUAUGCGGAAUGCGUGGUGUAGCGGUGAAAUGCAUAGAUAUCACGCAGAACUCCGAUUGCGAAGGCAGCAUACCGGCGCCCAACUGACGCUGAAGCACGAAAGCGUGGGUAUCGACCAGGAUUAGAUACCCCGGUAGU
rnacentral:rRNA from 1 species